rnacentral:rRNA from 1 species
UACAGAGGUCUCAACCGUUGUUCGGAUUCAUUGGGCGUAAAGGGUGCGUAGGCGGUCGUGCAAGUCGGAUGUGAAAUCUCAGGGCUCAACCCUGAAACUGCAUUCGAUACGGGCUAGCUAGAGUGUGGUAGGGGAGAUCGGAAUUCCUGGUGUAGCGGUGAAAUGCGCAGAUAUCAGGAGGAACACCGGUGGCGAAGGCGGGUCUCUGGGCCGUAACUGACGCUGAGGAGCGAAAGCCAGGGGAGCGAACGGG